UGCAAGUCGAGGGGAAACGACAUCGAAAGCUUGCUUUUGAUGGGCGUCGACCGGCGCACGGGUGAGUAACACGUAUCCAACCUGCCGAUGACUCGGGGAUAGCCUUUCGAAAGAAAGAUUAAUACCCGAUGGCAUAGUUCUUCCGCAUGGUAGAACUAUUAAAGAAUUUCGGUCAUCGAUGGGGAUGCGUUCCAUUAGGUUGUUGGCGGGGUAACGGCCCACCAAGCCUUCGAUGGAUAGGGGUUCUGAGAGGAAGGUCCCCACAUUGGAACUGAGACACGGUCCAAACUCC
rnacentral:rRNA from 1 species